rfam:Schistosoma curassoni strain Dakar, Senegal genome assembly, scaffold: SCTD_scaffold0007369
GCACUGCUGAGGAGUCCCAUAGUGGGACGAAACGGCCGUCCAGUUC